rnacentral:snoRNA from 1 species
UCUCAAUGAUGAAAACUUUGUCCAGUUCUGCUACUGACUUUAAGUGAUGAAAAGGUUGAUGUGU